CCGUUGGGGCUCUCGGGCCCCAAUCAAGAUACCACCCCUUGCAUUUUGAGUACCUUCUGUUUCCUCGGCGGGCUCGCCCGCCAACGGGGACCACACCAAACCCUUCUGUAGUUGCAGUAAGCGUCUAAAAACAAACAAAAAUCA
rnacentral:misc_RNA from 1 species